rnacentral:misc_RNA from 1 species
AAGCAACAAGAAAAGAACACAGAUCAUCAAGGAGUCCUGUCAAACAUAGUCACACGAAACUCAGGGUCUACGCUAAUAAAUUUUAGCUCUUUCAGGUCUUUCAAUAAAAUAAUAACUACUAUAUUAAUCAAUCAAACACAUCCACAAUAUCACUAAAUCACCUGGUUAACUCAAGAACUCAUUUGAACUUAUUAUUGACAUUCUUGGGAUUGUUUUUAUAUCCAAGGAUAAUUCCAAACAGGGGUCA